UACGGGGGGGGCAAGCGUUGUUCGGAAUUACUGGGCGUAAAGGGCUCGUAGGCGGCCAACUAAGUCAGACGUGAAAUCCCUCGGCUUAACCGGGGAACUGCGUCUGAUACUGGAUGGCUUGAGUUUGGGAGAGGGACGCGGAAUUCCAGGUGUAGAGGUGAAAUUCGUAGAUAUUCGCAAGAACACCAGUGGCGAAGGCGGCUCACUGGCCCGGUACUGACGCUGAGGUGCGAAAGCGUGGGGAGCAAACAGG
rnacentral:rRNA from 1 species